rnacentral:rRNA from 1 species
AAUGAACGCUGGCGGCAGGCCUAACACAUGCAAGUCGAACGGAUCCUUCGGGAUUAGUGGCGGACGGGUGAGUAACGCGUGGGAACAUACCCUUUGGUACGGAAUAGCCUCGGGAAACUGGGAGUAAUACCGUAUGUGGUCGAGAGACGGAAGAUUUAUCGCCAAAGGAUUGGCCCGCGUUGGAUUAGGUAGUUGGUGGGGUAAUGGCCUACCAAGCCGACGAUCCAUAGCUGGUUUGAGAGGAUGAUCAGCCACACUGGGACUGAGACACGGCCCAGACUCCUACGGGAGGCAGCAGUGGGGAAUUUUAGACAAUGGGGGAAACCCUGAUCUAGCCAUGCCGCGUGAUCGAUGAAGGCCUUAGGGCUGUAAAGAUCUUUCAGGUGGGAAGAUAAUGACUGUACCACCAGAAGAAGUCCCGGCUAACUCCGUGCCAGCCGCCGCCGUAA